GAAGGUAUAGCUCAGUGGUAGAGCGUGUGCUUAGCAUGCACGAGGUCCUGGGUUCAAUCCCCAGUACCUCCA
rnacentral:tRNA from 1 species